GAAGUCAAAUGAUUUUGUGGACUAAGCUGUAAAACAGAAACAUGCACUCAUUGAAGUUUUGACUCCUAGCAUCCUAUAUAGCUGCAGUCUAGCUCAGGGAUGGAUGACAAGCAUCUCUUUAAGUGCCAUUGAUGUGAAGAGUCUAGCUGCCUGCAGAGUGAGUGGUGAAUGGUUAUUACAUUCAGCUGCCAACUGUCAGCUGUAAAAGCCAGCUGGAGACACAGCUGGAGACACAGGAGACAAUCUAUGCUGUGCUUUCUCUGCUAUUCUCCUUUUUCAGGUUUGGCAGAAAAUUAGAGAAAAAUCUCUUUUACUUAAACACCCACAUUUAAACUCUAGGUCAAGGUAAAUAAACAAAAACAUGCUCUUCUCAUCCUUACACAACCUUACCCAUUGUAAAAGGAAAUUUAGCUAAGAGGAUAUUUAAUUUCAUUUAAAUGAUUCCAAGUGACUCAGAGAAUUAGGUUUUAUUUUUACUUUAAGUGAUGUCUUUACGCUUAGGAAGCAAAGAUGAUAAUCUAAUGAAUCUCAGCUCCUCCUUGUGAGAAAUGAAGAAUUAAAUAAACUUAUAUUGAAUUAAGCAAAUAUUUAUUGAGAACCUACUAAGUGGUAAGGCGUUCCUGUAGGGACGGUAAGUGGUAACGAGUAAUAUAAUAACAAUUAAGGAAUCUGCUCUUUCUGUAGAUCACAAGGUACUUUGCUAUUAAUCGUCUCUUGGGGAUAAGAUAGUCCAUGCUUCAGGGAGCCUGCAGACUUAGGGCAGAGAAUGUCUAUGGAUUUAUUUGAGGAGAAUCCAUUAACUUUAAAGCAGAUAUUCUCUCCAGAGAGUUGCUGACAUUUUACCCAUAAACUUUAACUUCUCAAGAUCCCUGCAACAGGAACAAAAAAAGGGAUCAUUUUUGUCUGGGAUGCACAAAUAAAGGUUGAUGUGUAGAGAUGACUGGUGAUGAAGUCCAGAGAACAAAACCAAGCACUGAUAGAGUGUUCAACUCUGUGCAAGACUAUUCUCGGCACUGACAUAUAUUUACAGUCUAAUCCUCAUACAAUAUUUUGAAGUAAGUUCUGUUGUUAUUUUACAACGAGGCAACUGAGGCACUGAAAGAUGUAAUGGAAAGUGCUGGCGUGUUAACCCUGAGGGACCAGACCAUGAGCCCUUUGAUUUGUGAAUGGUAAGGAUGGUCAUUGAGAGGAAAGAGAGAAUUCACAGAAUUCUGUGGAGAACAUUCUGAUCCUGCCAAUCCGACUAUUCCUUCUGCUUAUGUCCAAUUCUAGUAGUUCAUCUUUCUAGUAUAAAUCGAAUCUUAAAAAGUACAUUGUCUUACAGGCUGCAGAUAGAAAUGUGUCUUUCUUUCAAUUUGGAAAUUCAUAUCUCUGUUCUUCUAUCCUAUCAGUCUGAUAACAUAAUGCCUGAAAGGCUAGAAAAUGCAUGGAAAGAUCUCACAGACGCUCUAAAGAAGUUUUAUUCUUGCAAUGUGAACAAUAUCGAAUGAAAUCUGGACGGUGUGGAAGAAUAUUCCGAAGUGUAUCAUUGAGUCCCAGACAGAGGAUCUUAAUGCAUACUUCUCGCAGAUAAAAUACUUCCAAGUGCUGCAGUUAGACGAAAGAAGGGAACUGUUUUUGAUGUAUCCACAGACUUGGUUGGUUGACUGGGAUCUCUCUACUGGCAACCUGGAAAGGCAAGUCAGCAUUUCUGAGGUUCUAUUUGGGGGUUUCAGAGAUGUUCCUGAGGGUAACUAAUAAGAUAUGUGUAGCUACUUGUUUUGUUUUGUAUUAACAUAGCACCUUCCUGUGGUGGUUGCGUCCUCCUUCUUCAGUAACUGCUUAUUUCUCUCAAUAAGGAAUGUUAAUAUAAUGUGAACAAAAACAGCAUGUAAAGAAAACGAAAACAUAGAUACCCAAAGACAGUCCCUAAAUUAGAAUGUCUUUGCUGACUCUUAAUUUUCAAAAUACUAAGGCACCUGAUUCUGCUUCUCCAUCUCCCCACUGCCAUCUGAAAAGCUUAAUGUGGAAAUGAAUACUCUCUACAUACUAAGCAAUACAAAAGAAACACACUUGAUAAUUACAUUAUUCAUCAGACACUCAAAUUGUGACGUGAAUUUUCUAUAAGAUAAUAGUAGCAGGGCUGGGCAGGAGAAAGACUUACAAGGCACGAAGCUAUUCUAAAUUUUGUUAGCUUUAAUCCCAAUUAGGCCGGGCGCGGUGGCUCACGCCUGUAAUCCCAGCACUUUGGGAGGCCGAGGUGGGCGGAUCACGAGGUCAGGAGAUCGAGACCAUCCUGGCUAACACGG